AUCCAGCUGACAAGUCUCAAACAGAACGGAACACGCGUCCUGGAU
rfam:Schistosoma haematobium scaffold215_5, whole genome shotgun sequence.